GAAGCCAUGAGCUGGCCUGAGCCCUCUCUUUGAGAGGUUUGUUGACUGACUGUAUGACCUCUUCCUCCAGGCCCCAGAAGGGAAGUGCUGUUACACUGGGGAGAAAGCCACUGAUUUGCUGUUGCUGUCACAGGGAGGGUCCAGAGCUGGGUCAGCAGCCAGAGCACAGAUCGCAGCCAGCCUGGGCAGGGCUGAGCAUCAACCUCCAUGGAAACCAAGGCUGACUCCACGGCUGCUGGAAAAUUCUCCCAAGCGCAGCAGUGUCCUCUGUUCACCCCCCUCCCCGUCCCAGGAGGAACCGCAACAGCUGGAGGGGCUGAGUGGGGAUGAUUAUGAUUGGGAGUUUGGGCCAGCCUGGGCUACAGGAACCGCGGAGUGGGGGACCGAGCACGGGACCAUCCCCAGCCCCCGGGGCCGCNNNNNNNNNNNNNGCCGGGCCCUGCCACUCGGAGCGAAGCCGGCGCUGACGCUGCUCACUGCUCCCGGCCGCGCGCCGCUGCUGCCCCCUGGCGGCCGCGUGAGAAGCUAAGGACGCGCACACGAGCU
rnacentral:lncRNA from 1 species